CGAACGGGUGAGUAACGCGUGAGGAACCUGCCUCAAAGAGGGGACGAACAGUUGGAAACGACUGCUAAUACCGCAUAAGCCCACGGGUCGGCAUCGACCAGAGGGAAAAGGAGCAAUCCGCUUUGAGAUGGCCUCGCGUCCGAUUAGCUAGUUGGUGAGGUAAUGGCCCACCAAGGCAACGAUCGGUAGCCGGACUGAGAGGUUGAACGGCCACAUUGAGACUGAGACACGGCCCAGACUCCUACGGGAGGCAGCAUG
rnacentral:rRNA from 1 species